rnacentral:rRNA from 1 species
CAAACCAAAGCUGGCGACCGGCGCACGGGUGAGUAACACGUAUCCAACCUGCCUCAUACUCGGGGGUAGCCUUUCGAAAGAAAGAUUAAUAUCCGAUAGCAUAUAUUUCCCGCAUGGGUUUUAUAUUAAAGAAAUUCGGUAUGAGAUGGGGAUGCGUUCCAUUAGUUUGUUGGGGGGGUAACGGCCCACCAAGACUACGAUGGAUAGGGGUUCUGAGAGGAAGGUCCCCCACAUUGGAACUGAGACACGGCCAA